UCCUACCAGAUGUAGAGCUCUGAUGGUACCAGCCUGUCACACACAUUCCUGCCUUCAUCACAACUGGAAGACACUCAGGACAAUCUCAUGGAAAAAUUAAGAAGCAACCACACAAUGGGAAGAUCUCCUACAGGAGCAGCUCCAACUGAUGUUGUUAACAAGGCUCUGGGAGGGAUAAAAGGUCUGAAACGUCCAAGACACACCACAAACUUCCUCUGGGAAUGAAGUCACAGCAAGAUGGGACUUUUUCUCUUGAGAAGUGUCAUUAAUUUUAUAACAUAAGCACUCAUCAGCCUUUCUUUUGGAUACCAUUGACAAUUUCUCCAAUUUCUCCAUCACAAACAACGUUGCUCCACAUGAGCGUCCAAACACCACCAGCCUUCAGGAAACUUUACCUUCACAACGUCUGCUCAGCUGUUGACCUGAUUUCACAAGCAGGGAGGACAAACUCAGGAAGAAAAACACAAAAUUUCAAGUCUUCUAUGAGAUUCGUGGAAAUUUUGGGAGCAGUAGCCAAAACUACUCAUGACCAUCAGGUUGAACAGCACAACAAAUCUGGAGCUUCUGCUGAACACAGGGAAUUCAGGAUUAU